GCCAGCGUGAUUUAAUGGUUUGAGUACUGGAUUAGGACUCUGGGAGAUCAGGGUUCAAAUCCCUACUUGGCU